ACGGGUCGUGGUAGCCUUGUCAAGUUGGUGCUCACCUCGCAAGUCAUCUACCAUGCCGCUCCACUUAUCAUCCCACCACCCAUAAUAAAGAGCAUCAACAAAAUCGAGAGGGCCUUCCUUUGGGCGGGAACAGACAAAAUCACCGGCGCAAAGUGCAAGCUGAUCGACGAUGCCGACUUCUCGGAGGACAAGGUGGAGGCGACGCUGCAGCUGCCGCUCAACGAGAAGAACGGGGCGCAGCAGAUCGCCGCCUUCCUCGUGCUGCUCCGGGCCAAGGGCGAGACCUACGAAGAGAUCGUCGGGCUGGCUAAGGCCAUGAUGAGAAACUGCGUCCGUGUCGAGGGCCUGCACGACGCCGUCGACAUUGUCGGUACCGGCGGUGAUGGCAUAGGCACCGUCAACAUCUCCACCGGCUCCACCAUCCUCCCCGCCGGUACA
rnacentral:rRNA from 1 species